rnacentral:rRNA from 1 species
GAUGAACGCUGGCGGCGUGCCUAAUACAUGCAAGUCGAACGAAACUUCUUUAUCACCGAGUGCUUGCACUCACCGAUAAAGAGUUGAGUGGCGAACGGGUGAGUAACACGUGGGCAACCUGCCCAAAAGAGGGGGAUAACACUUGGAAACAGGUGCUAAUACCGCAUAACCAUAGUUACCGCAUGGUAACUAUGUAAAAGGUGGCUAUACUACCGCUUUUGGAUGGGCCCGCGGCGCAUUAGCUAGUUGGUAGGGUAAAGGCUUACCAAGGCAAUGAUGCGUAGCCGAAUUGAGAGGUUGAUCGGCCACAUUGGGACUGAGACACGGCCCAAACUCCUACGGGAGGCAGCAGUAGGGAAUCUUCCACAAUGGGCGAAAGCCUGAUGGAGCAACGCCGCGUGGGUGAAGAAGGUCUUCGGAUCGUAAAACCCUGUUGUUAGAGAAGAAAGUGAGUGAGAGUAACUGUUCACGUUUCGACGGUAUCUAACCAGAAAGCCACUGCUAACUACGUG